rnacentral:rRNA from 1 species
AGAGGGUGCGAGCGUUAAUCGGAAUUACUGGGCGUAAAGGGCGCGUAGGUGGAUAAGUGUGUUGGAUGUGAAAGCCCCGGGCUCAACCUGGGAAGGCCAUUCAAAACUGCUUGUCUAGAGUGCAGUAGAGGGAAGUGGAAUUUCCGGUGUAGCGGUGGAAUGCAUAGAUAUCGGAAGGAACACCAGUGGCGAAGGCGGCUUCCUGGACUGUUACUGACACUGAGGCGCGAAAGCGUGGGGAGCAAACAGGAUUAGAUACCCUGGUAGUCCACGCCGUAAACGAUGAAAACCUAGCCCGUAAGGGCUUUUGAGCCUUUGUGGCGCAGCUAACGCGAUAAGUUUUCCGCCUGGGGAGUACGGCCGCAAGGUUA